rnacentral:lncRNA from 1 species
UUUAGCUGGGCAAGAUUUUAAUCUUCCAAGAAAUAUAGUAUGUUACAAUAUCAAAAUCCGAAACCCGAAAUCCGUUUAUAAAAAAAAAAAAAAAAAAAAAAACAAAAACAAAACCCUAAGCGACGGCAAGCCUCCACCGCCUCCUGGGCGCCGCCACGGGCAAGCGCUGCAACCGGAGAUCGGUCUGUAUAACGGGAGCAGCGGAUCAACCUCUAGAACGGAAGCAAAGGGAUCAGGAGCUUUUGGUACUUCCCGUCUCACGGAGUGCGAUGGUGGAUCUUCUAGUUUUCACAAUUACUGAUGGAAAAAGUAGGAGGUUUAUGCUCAUAAAUAACUAAUGCCUAAAAACAUUUUUCGUUCAGUGUCUAUAUGUUUUUUAUUAGUGUGCACUAUCUACUUUUAAGUUUCUCUUAAAGUCACUCCGUAACUACCUGAAUUGACUUGUUUGUUCUUCGAUAAUUGAUUUUAUAUUUCUUUUUUCUUCUAUGUAUUUUUAAACUUAUAACCAAACG